CCUUAUUAUUUUAAAAUCAGGUGAUUGUUUUGAAGGAUUUCUUUUGUCAUGGGAUUUUGAAAUACCAACAACAAAGGAUUUUGGUUUACGGUCAAACAGACCGUAAAACCAAAUACAAGGUUUUGAAUGUUCAUUGAAAUCCCUCACAUGUCAUCACGUGAGGGAUUCAGUACUCCAUCAGCACGAAGGUGAGAACGACAACGAAUGAGAAGUCUGAGAAGUUGAAGCUCGUCAACACCAACGCCGCCGAAAUUCCUCAUCACCAACACUGGAGCAACUCCCUUCUACAAGGACACACGCGCAGCUCCCUUCUGAGGAGUUGAAGCUCGUCAACACCAACGUUAGCGCAACUCCAUUCUUGUUGCAGCUCUUCAACCAGGACGCUGACGCAGCUCCUUGCUGAGGAGUUGAAGCUCGUCAGCACCAAGUCUAGCACAGCUCCAUUCUUGUUGGAGCUCUUCAACCAGGACAUCGGCGCAGCCCGUCACUGUUUUACCUUUUCCAAAAUCCAGCAACUACCAUAGAUCUGGCUGUUUAAGUUUAAAAUCAGCUUGAAGGGAAUGAAAUUGAAGCUUUGAUAAGAGAUCUCUGAAAUCAUUUGUUGACACAGGUGUUUGUAGGAGAUUUUUCAGGGGGCUUGAUAUCAUCUAAAAAGGAAAUUUCAGGUUUCAAGGUUUUUUUCCUCCUUAUUGUCCUGCUGCACUAAAAUCUUUGACAUUAUUACCAGCAAACAUAUCAGGCUCAAUUUUCAAAUCUCAGGUUGGCUAUUACUUGUGUUCCAUUGAUUUUGUAAUAUUUUGUUUU